rnacentral:rRNA from 1 species
AUGGUCCUAAUCGCGCCCACACCUCCUACUGGUUUUGUUCAGGUGCUCACGGACUUUGCCUCUGGGCCGUCAGUCAUUCUUAUACCGACCGCACCGUGGCUGGGUUUGCGUCCAAUGUGGAGAACUUUCGCGUGUUCUCUUAUAUCCUUCCCAUCUACCAGAGUUUUUGGUCACGAACCACUUGUAGUCACCAAACAAAUGAACUACUCGGCGUAUGACUACAGGGAUUUUCUCAUGGCUCUUGGUUUCAACACCGACAUCAUAAAAUGGAUACUUCGGAUGAAUCUAAAGGUUAAUGCUCCGAUGGUGCCAACGACAUACCUAAAUGGAGUCGGUUUCCAAACGAUAGAUCAGGCUGUAUACUGGGACAAUAACUUUGAUGUAGAGCCAGAGUAUGUAUAUGGCGAUGGUGACGAUGUCGUCAACUUAGUUAGCUUGUUGGCAUUUGUGGAAGAAAUGAGAAGGCAGCAGCAGCGGAAUAGCAUACACUUCAAGUUCAUCAAGAUUGCUCAUACUAACCACUCUCAUAUUCUAAUUCAGGAACGUUCACUCAAGAGAGUUAUGGCUGAAAUUCUAGAAGCUAAUUGCAGAAGAGACAUCAUGUAA